UAAAUUGAGACUUUCCAUGAUUUCCUAGGAAAAGAAUCCUAUAAAUUUUGACCAAAAAAAAAAAAACCUAUAAAUAAAACUCUCCACGGAGAAUUAUAAUGCAACAUAACUUCUUCUCAAUAUAAUACUAACAAAAUCUCUAUAACAUGGGUAUCACAAAAACCUCGAUAGCAAUUUUUUUUGUAGUGGUAUUAACAAUUUCGAUUUCUAACCACAACGUUUCGGCUGUGACAGUGAUCGAGGCAGCAACCCGUCCCCCGUGCCUUUUUCUAUGUAAUGGUUUUCCACUUAACAAUUUUGCAUGUUGGCAUGAUUGUGGAUCGAAGGGGUACAAUGAUGGACGCUGUGGUGGAAAUCCGUCCAGGUGUUGUUGCCGUAAUUAAUCGAUUAUCUUUAUAAAGUAAUUUGGCAAAUUGAGUUAAAUGAUGAACUUUAUAAUUGUUGCUUUUCAGUUUAUUGAGAAUGAAUAAAACAUAAAUCAUGAUACUACAGUUUAUAUA